rnacentral:rRNA from 1 species
GGGAACUUGCCUGGUAGUAGGGAAUAACCAGUGGAAACAUUGGGCAACACCCUAUACGCCUUGAGGGGGAAAAUUUAUUGCUAUCAGAUAGGCCCGCGUUAGAUUAUCUAGUUGGUGGGGUAAUGGCCUACCAAGGCGACGAUCUAUAGCUGGUAUGAGAGGAUGAUCAGCCACACUGGAAUUGAGACACGGUCCAGACUCCUACGGGAGGCAGCAGUGAGGAAUAUUGGACAAUGGGUGAAAGCCUGAUCCAGCCAUACCGCAUGAGUGAUGAAGGCCCUUGGGUUGUAAAGCUCUUUUAGUGGGGAAGAUAAUGACGGUACCCACAGAAGAAGUCCCGGCUAACUCCGUGCCAGCAUCCGCGGUAAUACGGAGGGGGCUAGCGUUGUUCGGAAUUACUGGGCGUAAAGGGUGCGUAGGC